UGCGUAGACAAUGCGAAACUUCUGUUCCAUCUUGUGCCACUUGUUGUACCAACUGUCUUCAUCGGUGACGAGAGGCAGGUAGGGGUGCUCUGGUGAGUUGUCCUCGCUGGUGCUGCUCUCGGCACUGUGCCUCUCCUCCUCAUCCGUCAGGUAGCACCCCAACUCCGACCCUUGGGCAGUGACACCAGGAUGACACUCAGCGCCCUUCCGGUACCCAUCUCCUCACCCACCGCAAUAACCGGGCUGCUCACCUUUGGGUGAAUUUUAGCAUGAUGGCUCCGGAGUCAUAGAACCGUCUGCAGGGAGGAGAAAGCUGAGACUCCCAAGGAGUGUCCCUCCACCCAGGAUUUCUCUGCCUGGCUUACUUAUUACAAACUUUACCCGGAGGAAGGAGACUCCUUCCGGCUCAGUACCUCACUGGAACUAGCACCUGACCCAGCCCCCAUCACAAUGCCUGUUUCCUUACAAGAAACACGGUUCUGUUCUCUAGGCUAAGCAACCCCUAUCAAAGCACUAUAGGGUCACCUCAAUCCUAUAAAUCAGGGAGUAAAUCUUAGUCUUAGUGCUUGUCACACAUACAGUAAAUGAGGUCCUCAAAAGACAAUUGUCUCUGAAAUAAGAUGGGUUAGGGAUAAAAUGUAUUAUAAAAAAAAAAAAAUCAGAUGGGGGAGGGAGACCCACAGUAGCUCCCCACUCCCACACAGAAGCAUUCUGCCCCGUGAUCUCUGAUCGGCAGGACCCAACUUCUCAGCAAACCCCACUCUAAGCACUGAAGCUCUGAACACUGGGAUCCAAGAACAGAGUGACUGCCUUUGUUUGCAGAGCUGGCAGGGCUAUGUGUUGUAGGUCCUGGCAUAAGGCCAAGUAAAAUGGCAUGUGACUGAGGCCUCUGUAGUCCAGUAACCAUGUCAUCUUCGAGAAGCCAACUAUCACUGCAUGCCGGAACUUGUAGUCCAGGUAUUGAAGUUUGCUGUGGGGACUUAAGGCUUAGGCAACGAAUGAGCAUGCUGCUGCCUAAGAGGUCUGACCUGGUAGUUCGGUUGUCCCGAAGAGCUGUGGUGA
rnacentral:lncRNA from 1 species